UACGUAGGGUGCAAGCGUUGUCCGGAAUUAUUGGGCGUAAAGAGCUCGUAGGCGGUCUGUCGCGUCGGCUGUGAAAACCCGGAGCUCAACUCCGGGCCUGCAGUCGAUACGGGCAGACUGGAGUUCGGCAGGGGAGACUGGAAUUCCUGGUGUAGCGGUGAAAUGCGCAGAUAUCAGGAGGAAUACCGGUGGCGAAAGCGACUCUCUGGACGGUAACUGACGCUGAGGCACGAAAGCGUGGGGAGCAAACAGG
rnacentral:rRNA from 1 species